UCGAGUUUUGACUGGGUUGUAGCUGGCCUUCCGAGGCACUGUGCACGCCCUGCUCAUCCACUCUACACCUGUGCACUUACUGUGGGUUACGGACUGUUGGAGCGGGCUCUGCGGAGCUCGUGAAGCGCGUCUGUGCCUGCGUUUUAUUACAAACACUAUAAAGUCUUAGAAUGUGUAUUGCGAUGUAACGCAUCUAUAUA
rnacentral:misc_RNA from 1 species